rnacentral:rRNA from 1 species
AACGAACGCUGGCGGCAGGCCUAACACAUGCAAGUCGAGCGCCCCGCAAGGGGAGCGGCGGACGGGUGAGUAACGCGUGGGAACGUGCCCCUUUCUACGGAAUAGCCUCGGGAAACUGGGAGUAAUACCGUAUAAGCCCUACGGGGGAAAGAUUUAUCGGGAAGGGAUCGGCCCGCGUUGGAUUAGGUAGUUGGUGGGGUAAUGGCCUACCAAGCCGACGAUCCAUAGCUGGUUUGAGAGGAUGAUCAGCCACACUGGGACUGAGACACGGCCCAGACUCCUACGGGAGGCAGCAGUGGGGAAUCUUGACAAUGGGCGCAAGCCUGAUCUAGCCAUGCCGCGUGAGCGAUGAAGGCCUUAGGGUUGUAAAGCUCUUUCAGUGGGGAAGAUAAUGACUGUACCCACAGAAGAAGCCCCGGCUAACUCCGUGCCAGCCGCCGCAGUAAGAC